UUAUGCGAUAUAUUGUGUGAAUUGCAGAAUCCCGUGAACCAUCGAGUCUUUGAACGCAAGUUGCGCCCGAUGCCAUUAGGUUGAGGGCACGUCUGCCUGGGUGUCACAUAUCGAAGCCUCCUGCCAAUUUCCUUUUGACGGGUAUUGCGCACGGUGGAUGUUGGCCUCCCGUGAGCUCUUUCGUCUCAUGGUUGGUUGAAAAUUGAGACCUUGGUAGGGUGUGCCAUGAUAGAUGGUGGUUGUGUGACCCACGAGACCAAUCAUGCGCUGCCCUAUUGAAUUUGGCCUCUUUUACCCAUAUGCGUUUCUAAACGCUCGUGAUGAGACCUCAGGUCAGGCGGGGCUACCCGCUGAAUUUAAGCAUAUCAAUAAGCGGAGGAAAAGAAACUAACAAGGAUUCCCUUAGUAACGGCGAGCGAACCGGGAUAAGCCCACCAUGAGAAUCGGUCGCCCUCGGCGUUCGAAUUGUAGUCUGGAGAAAGCGUCAA
rnacentral:rRNA from 1 species